CCACCCAAACCAUCCCGUGACUGAUUCAAGGCCCUGCACAGGCACAGCUCAGCUCUGUGCUGCUCACAGUCCAGCAUCGUGCCCACAACACUGGCAUUUAUUUCAAUAAGAACCAAAUGUGCAGAGACCCUGAGGCAGAGUUAAGGCUUGAGGGUCUUACCCACCCACAGGUGCCUUCUGCAGCUCUGAAACUCUAAAAUCCACAACCUUCCUCAGCUCUGCAGCAGCCAGUUUGAUUCCGUGGGGAAUUCCCCCCAAAGACCUUUGCUGGCCCUGAAUUGGUUUAUGACCAUGUGCUUGAUUUGGGAAGCAGCUGAGAAAUGCAGUGGCUCACAGACACUGGCCAAGCUGAUGAACUGGCUUUGUCCCAGCCAAACCCAGGACAAACAUGGGUUCUGUGUGGUAUAUUUUUUGUGUGCCGUGUUUCUGUGGCACAUUUUUUUCUGUGUUAUUACUGCAUGCAUUGGGAGUCUGAGCUGCCAUUUCUAUACAAAUGCUGACAUUUAUAAUUUCUUAAAGAGCAUCUUCUGCGACGUUAUUUUUAUUUCAUUAAAUAGUUUCUCCCUCUCUUUCUUUCUGAUAACUGAGGAAACCUGGGAAACGGUAUCAGAGAAGAGAGAAGACCAGAACAAAGGGAGGAAGAUGGAUCCCUUUGACAAGGGUGACCUCAGCCCGGCAGAAGUAGACGUGACUUGGGGAGGACACAUUCCAAUGGAGCCCCAAGAGUGUGUCUCCCUCUCUUCCCUGAAGCAGCACCUGGAGCCUGCAGAGAAUUGACUGGGAUGUACAAAAAGCACUUCCUUGUGCAAAAUCUCCAAAGGAUCCUCGAAGGGCUGACAGGAGGCCUGGAAACCAUUCCUUGGGAUGCACCAGCAUGGCCUAUGCAGCCUGGAAGGAUGGAGUGCAGGAGUGCUGGAACCUGCCUUAAGAAGAAGAAGGUGCACUGACAUUUCCUUCACCUGCUCAUUGUCAGUCCAGAAGAUGCUCCAGAGCCCCCAGCAAGGACAUUGCCCAGGGUCCCCAGGGAUGGGGUGGCAGCUGCUGCGCUGGGAGUGAGGGCUGUCCCAGUGGAUGGGCCUGCUCUGCCUGGGAGAGCUUGGUAACAUUCUCAGGGCUGAACUGCAGUGAGUAGAGAAAUAUCAAUAUUUUUUUAAAUUUGAGAGUAGGCUUUACCCAGGCCCCCUGAGCUUGGGCUGAGAUUUGCCUUUUCAGCAAGCAUCGGGUAUAACCCACAAGCGUGUCUGCCCUCCCAAGAGCUUUACAGCUCCUGAAAAAAGGGCUAGAGCAGCAGGAUUCAGUGUCAAUUAUGGACAUUGUGGCUUCUGCAGACUUUCUUACUCUUUGCACUAUAUAAGUUGAAAAAAAAAGUUGUAAGUGUGAUUAAAAUUAGCUAAACCAAAGGUACCUUUGUAAGUAACAUGUAAGUACAUAUUUUAAAAGCCCAUAUAACUUGGUUGCUAGAGAGGAGCUCAAAGCUGUUUCCUGUUAUCACUGCUAAAGAGGAGGCCUGAUCUACCUGAGGUCAGGCAAAGGUUUGAAUUCAUCCCUUUUGCAGCUGACUGAGCUGAGGACUGGAUCUAAUCAGAGCAUCCUACUGUUUGACCUGCACCUGGAAUCCAUCCGGACAGAAAACCCCCGGAGCCAGCUGCCCAUGUGGAAACUAGGCCAGCAAAGCUUGGUCCGAGCUGGUCACAGUGUGCUGAUGUCCUGGCUGAACCUGCUGCUCUGUGGCUGGGGUGGUUUCUCCUUGUUCUCGGAGCCGGUUCUCUCUCAGCAGAAGAUGCACUCUGAGGUCCCAGCUUUGUGCAACAAGAGAAUGUGGAGCCUAUUGAAAGUCCCUGCCUUUGCUAAUGCAGCUGGCACUGUCUGGGAAAACCAAACCAAGGAAUUAGCGAAACCAAAACAGUGAAAAGAGCCACAAGUGUUAUUACAACCAGGACAGGCAGCUCAGCUGCCUCUCAGUGAGUAACAACUUGCAGAUGUGCGGGGUGAACAACUGCGGCGCUUUGUGAUCCAGCUCAGCUCCCACUGCUGGGGGAGAGCGGGCUCAGGACGCAGUCCUGCUCUGCCACCUGCCCUGGCCAGGUGAAGAGAUGAUGCUGUGGAUGUGGCUCAUUGCUUUCCUCGCUGGCUGCCCCGCUCCAGAGCUUCCCAGAGGCUGCGUCUCUGCCGGCCACAAGACCCUGAGUGGGUUCUGUGGGAUGUGAUGGCAGACACUGGUCUAAAAGUCUUCCAGGCACCUGGCCCCAGGUACAGCCAACUCUCACAGAAACAUGCCAUCUGCCCUUCCUGGGGUUUGCCUGCCCAGCCCUGCAGUGCCCACGUGCUGCAGCUGCAGGAGGAGAGUGACCCGGCCGGCGCCGGGGUGCUGAGGGGGCACCAGGACUGGCUGAGCCCCGGCUUUACAUGCCCUGAGCAGCCAGAGAUGCUAUGAGAUCCCCAGCAACCCCAGCCAUGGGACUGAACACCAUGUUCUCCUGCCUUUUCAGUGAGGAAAUUUCCCAUUUGGGCCUGCAGAGAGGUUUUGGAACUGCAGUGCCUAUCGCUGUACCUUUUCCUCCUCUAAAGCUGGCGGAGCAGGGAGAAUGAGCCCUGCUUUGUGCAUCUCAGAGCCCUCAAGGCAGCCUCAGCAUCUGAGGGGCUUUGACUCAUGGUUUCUGCAUAGCUGGGGCUGGCAGCUCAGCACUCAAUAGCUGUGUGCCUGGAGGACUGACUAUAAAAAGUCAUGUUUAGAUUUCUGCAGCAUUCAUCGUUUAUUCCAGAAAAUAUAGCAGCAUGUCUUUGGGCAGACCCAAAUAUGGAAAUUGCUCUGUCAUCUCCGUAAGAGACAAAGCAACAGUCCAGAUUCCAACACCUUUUCCUCAUCCUGACCCACACCUGACACCAGGGAUACAUCUAUUAAGGCUGUUCAGACCUGCCAGACUCUUACUGUGCUGCUUAUAUGUUCAUGCCUUUCUGAAAGUCCCACCCUCCUGGAAUUCCGUGCCCCGGCAGCGUUCCUGUUGCACAGCUUUUCCUACCAUCUGGGCUCACCUCCUUCGAUGGGGUCACUGACCAUUACCUCUUGCCCCAUGGAAAACAGAGCAUUCCCUUCUCUCCAAGGCAGCCUUUGACAUAUUUAAAGCUCGCUGUUGCCACACUCCCCUGCCCCCAUCUUUUUCCCUUGCACCCCAAAGGGGUGCUCCACAGCAGGACGGAAUUGUCACACCGUGGCCAGGCUCCCUCUCUGUGUCUGUUUUUUUUGAAGCAGAUGCUGGUGGCACCUGACACAUCCCCAGCAGCUCCUGGAGAGCUGCUCUCCUCACUGCAUUCCUGUUCACGGGCAGCAGAUGAGCCCACCACUGCUUUUAUUUGAUUCAGGAAAAAAAAUCUGACACGGAGCAGAAGUUCAAUUUUAUCUCCUGAUUUUCUUUGCCUGGGCUCCAGUUUUGGUUUAAGGCAAUUAGGAGCACAAAAAUGUUUGUGGUUAACAGCCACUGUUAACCGCUGAACUCAUGGAGAGCAGGCCCAGCAAUCAGCAGUUUAAUGCCAGGAACUUGGGAGUAUUUUCUUGUUUGUUUUUUUUCCUUGUCUGUGUAAGUGGAUUGCUUAAACUGUAUUUUACAUACAUGGGGUCGGUCAUCUCUGAUUGAAAGCUGCCUUAAUAUUAUUUAAGUUUGGAAAUGACUGGAGGUAAAUCAAAUUUAGGUCAUUUUGAGUCCGAAUAAGAACUUGCAUUGAGGGAUUGAAUGCAUUUUAACUAAUCCACUUAAAGUCAGGCAGUGACUUAAUUUAGAUUAUUUUUCCUGAGCAAGUCUGUCUAGGUAAGACCUUGCACUGCUUUCCAACCCACCCUGCUUCACUUGAGAGAGAUGUGACAUCAGCAGAGCUAAAUCCGCGUUCACCAGCAGAGUGCUGGGUUCCAAAGUGUGACAUUAAAUACAAAAUAUAUAUAUGGGAGAAUGAAGUCAUGUUCUGGAUGAGGUUUUAAUUCUCUCCUUUUGGAAUAGCCAGUAGAAAUACAGCACAUAUCUAUUUGGGGAAAAAAAUACAGUAUAUUGGACAAGAAUUUGAAGCAUGUCCAGAGACUUCCUUGUCCUGAGGAAUAUGCAGUGCAGCAGCUGGGUAAGGGUCUCAGGUGAUUUCAUGUUCCCCUCUGCCUUCAAAAUACUUCUUUGUUUGCUUUUUACAAAAUACAGUGUCCUGAUGAGUG